rnacentral:tRNA from 1 species
UACCUUGCAGCAAGCUCAAUGCGUCCAGUUUCGACCUGGAAGAAGGCUCUGCAAAGCCCAAGGUAA